AUUGAACGCUGGCGGCAGGCCUAACACAUGCAAGUCGAACGAGUGGCGGACGGGUGAGUAAUGUCUGGGAAACGGCCCGAUGGAGGGGGAUAACCACUGGAAACGGUAGCUAAUACCGGAUUCAAUCGGAUGUGCCCAGAUGGGAUUAGCUAGUAGGUGGGGUAACGGCUCACCUAGGCGACGAUCCCUAGCUGGUCUGAGAGGAUGACCAGCCACACUGGAACUGAGACACGGUCCAGACUCCUACGGGAGGAAGCAGUGGGGAAUAUUGCACAAUGGGCGCAAGCCUGAUGCAGCCAUGCCGCGGGUAUGAAGAAGGCCUUCGGGUUGUAAAGUACUUUCAGCGAGGAGGCGUUACUCGCAGAAGAAGCACCGGCUAACUCCGUGCCAGCGGCCGCGGUAAUUC
rnacentral:rRNA from 1 species